rnacentral:lncRNA from 1 species
CUCCUUGUUAGGACAUUCUAAAGGCCUUUCUCUAUUGCUAGGCUCACAAUGAAAAUAACAAGCAGCAGGGCUGAGACUUAACUCCAAAGCCUGGGAGGAAGGUGGAUUGGAGUUGGUAAUGGUGGUGUGGUCUGGAAUAGUGGCAGUGGAAAUGGAGGAGAUGGCUGAGGCAGGAGUAUUGAGGAGAUGAAAUCACCCAGAUUUCAAGGGUGAGGAGAAGAAGGAGGGGCAAUGAUAGCGCUGGUAUCCUAAGCCUGAGCAGGGGACAGCAGGAGUGCUACCAAGAGAAAUGGCUCCUCCCAGCCCCCUUUCCCAGCCAUACCACACUCCAUGGAGUCAGCCCAGGCCUCAGCCCAGAGCACAGAAGAAACUGAUGAGGUGAGCAUGCCAGAAACCAGGUCACAGAAAUUAAAGAAAUCCUACAGGGUCUAGAUACAUACAUACAUACAUAUGCAUCUGUGUGUGUGUGUGUGUGUGUGUGUGUGUGUGUGUGUGUGUGUGUGUUAAUCAGGUAGAAUGACACAUAAAGAAGCUCUAUCUUGGCUUUUAGAUUCAGUCUCUACUCUCUUCACACACUGAGACCACAGCCGGGCACAUGUAGGAACAUGCCCUCCUUCUAGAGAUCUUGUGGGGACACACUGAGGAAAUGUGUAUUCAUGGCAGAAACUUCUCUGAGGAACCCUGAGUUUCUUUUUCUUACUUCCAGCCUCCUGCCCCAUGUCCACUGAGGUCUGGCCUAUGGAAUGUGGGGAGAGGGAGGUGGCCACUCCCGGGCCUGUCCCACUCACAGUAGCUUCCCGUGUGGUUCUCGGCCUUUUCCUCCUGUCUGGCCAUAGGAUGUCAUUGCUCAGAGUAUGGAAAAGGGGAGUGUCUUCUCAGGCUGGGCUCCUGAAUGACAGUGUUUUCUCCCCAUAACCAGGGUCAGCUACGCCAUGCAGUGAACUACAUCAGAUUUUACUGUGGGCCAGGCGCGGUGGCUCACGCCUGUAAUCCCAGCACUUUGGGAGGCCAAAGUGGGUGGAUCAUUUGAGGUCAGGAGUUCAAGACCAGCCUGGCCAACAUGGUGAAACCCUGCCUCUACUAAAAAUACAAAAAUUAGCUGGGCAUGGUGGCAGGAGCCUGUAGUCCCAGUGACUUGGGAGGCUGAGGCAGGACAAUUGUUUGAACCCAGGAGGUGGAGGUUGCAGUGAGCUGAGACUGUGCCACUGCACUCCAAACUGAGCAACAGAGCAAGACUCCGUAUCAAAAAAAAAUUUUUUUUUAAUUGUAGUAAGCCACUGUAGUUUGGGGGUUUAAGCAUUGUGUCACCUCAGAGAAUAUGGAUGUUACCUCAGAGAGUAUGGGGAAGCUUUUUGAGAACUACAAGACAGUAUAGGACUAUAAGGUAUUUUAGACUGCUCCCAUGUUUAAAUCCCAGGUUUUGCAGUCUGGGAAGGCUGUUUGGAAGGGGCAGUGGGGCAGGUGACACCAGCUUGGGUUGUGCUAGGACCAGCACUCCCCUGGGGUGACACCCACUGGCUGUGUGAGAUCAGCUAUGUCUCAGAGCCCAGGGACCACUCAGAAUAAGCCCCUCCUUUAUUAUGCAGAUGAGCUCACAGAGAGAUAGGGAGCCUGAGGUUAUGUGGUGCCUUCCCUGGUACCAUGUGAGGACUGGCAACACGGAUCCUUGUCAUGGUGAAAAAAUGACUGUGGAAGACGGUUAUAGCAAUGGCUCCCAAUCAAGACGCCUCCUUGUUUCCACAUCAUUGUGUAGUCCCUGCCCACACUGGCUCUGGGCUUGACCAUGAGAUUUGUUUUGGCCAAUGGAACAUCAGCACAUGUGAUACAAGCAGAGGUUUGACAGGCACUGGUGCAUCGGGGCUUGCUCCCUCUUGCUGCUGGGACCCCUUCUGCUAUCACAGGAAGAAGUCUGGGCUAGUCUACUGGAAGGUGAGACCAGGGGGAGCAAAGACAAGUCAGGCCUGCUGAGUUCCACUAGUUCCCAGUUAUUCUCAACCAAAGGACAACUUGGUCCUCCAGGGAAGAUCUGGUAAUGACUGGAGAUAUUUUUGGCUGUCCUACUGGCAUCUAGUGGGCAGAGGUCAGAGAUGCUGCUACACAUCUUAUAAUGUGCGGGACAGUCCCCCCAUAACAAAGAGUUACCCGGUCCCAAAUGUCAGCAGUGCUGAGGUUGAAAAACCUGCCCAUGAGCAACCAACCCACAGCUGACCUCCCAGCUGACUGCAGCCCUGUGAGUGAACCCAGGCAGCUCACUCCCUGGACUCUGGACAGUUGCCAAGGAGGUGUGAAGGGAAGGCAGGAGGAGGACUUCCUGUGGAGGGCGCAGGCCAGGCAGUGAGGCAGCCGAGCUGUCGCUUCCGGAGCUGACAUUGCACAUCUCGCUCAUGCAUGCGACACUGCUGCAGACGAGGCUCAGUGCCGUCCCCGUUUUCCAGAGGCAAAGGAGUCACAGAGAGCUCCCGUCCCUUGCCCCGCCUGCCCUGGCGCCCACCUGUGCUGCUGCCCUACUGCCUUCCAUCAGGGAGGAUAAAGCCGACCGGGGCAGUUUGGAAACCACAUUCAGAC